rnacentral:rRNA from 1 species
GAUUGAACGCUGGCGGCAGGCUUAACACAUGCAAGUCGAGCGGUAACAUUUCUAGCUUGCUAGAAGAUGACGAGCGGCGGACGGGUGAGUAAUACUUAGGAAUCUACCUAGUAGUGGGGGAUAGCUCGGGGAAACUCGAAUUAAUACCGCAUACGACCUACGGGAGAAAGGGGGCAAUUUGUUGCUCUCGCUAUUAGAUGAGCCUAAGUCGGAUUAGCUAGAUGGUGGGGUAAAGGCCUACCAUGGCGACGAUCUGUAGCUGGUCUGAGAGGAUGAUCAGCCACACCGGGACUGAGACACGGCCCGGACUCCUACGGGAGGCAGCAGUGGGGAAUAUUGGACAAUGGGGGAAACCCUGAUCCAGCCAUGCCGCGUGUGUGAAGAAGGCCUUUUGGUUGUAAAGCACUUUAAGCAGUGAAGAAGACUCCGUGGUUAAUACCCACGGACGAUGACAUUAGCUGCAGAAUAAGCACCGGCUAACUCUGUGCCAGCAGCCGCGGUAAUACAGAGGGUGCAAGCGUUAAUCGGAAUUACUGGGCGUAAAGGGAGCGUAGGUGGCUCGAUAAGUCAGAUGUGAAAUCCCCGGGCUCAACCUGGGAACUGCAUCUGAAACUGUUGAGCUAGAGUAUGUGAGAGGAAGGUAGAAUUCCAGGUGUAGCGGUGAAAUGCGUAGAGAUCUGGAGGAAUACCGAUGGCGAAGGCAGCCUUCUGGCAUAAUACUGACACUGAGGCUCGAAAGCGUGGGUAGCAAACAGGAUUAGAUACCCUGGUAGUCCACGCCGUAAACGAUGUCUACUAGUCGUUGGGUCCCUUGAGGACUUAGUGACGCAGCUAACGCAAUAAGUAGACCGC